ACAUAUCAUAACGAAGAGGUAUCGUAAUUGAAGAGGUUUGGAAAGACCCACCACAGAAGGUAAUAGUCCUGUAUGUUAAACGAGAAGACUUUAGAUAUGAUCCAGAGUACCACGGGACACGUGAAACCCUGUGGGAAGCAGGAGGGACCACCCUCCAAGGCUAAAUACUACCUAGUGACCGAUAGCGUAUAGUACCGUGAGGGAAAGGUGAAAAGAACCCCGGGAGGGGAGUGAAAUAGAACCUGAAACCCUGCACUUACAAGCUGUGGAAGCACAUUUCUUGUGUGACCGCGUACUUUUUGUAGAACGGGCCAACGAGUUACGUUAAGUAGCAAGGUUAAGCACUUAAGGUGCGGAGCCGUAGCGAAAGCGAGUUUUAACUGAGCGUUCAGUUACUUGACGUAGACCCGAAACCGGGCGACCUACCCAUGAGCAGGAUGAAGCGAAAGUAAAAUUUCGUGGAGGUCCGAACCCACGAGCG
rnacentral:rRNA from 1 species